CCAUGUUGUUAUAUUUGUUGUCCCUACCUUUAAGACAUGCUCAAUUUGUUAAAUACUAAUCACACUACUUCAUCUCCACUUGAGUAGAUCUCUAUAAAUGCUGUCAUGUUACCUUUGUCUAUUUACUAGAAAGUAUUAGUUUGGAAGUACUGCACAUACUUCUAUUGGCUUUUAAAUUAAGCAUGGUGCUUAGGUUAAACAGCCUUCCUUAAUCUGAUUAGACAUGGAGUCUAGUUCGGUUAUUGAACUAAAAACUGCUUGUGUAGACAUUGGUAUAUUUUUGUCGGACUAACCCCUGCAGAAAAACUUUCAAUAUCGAUUUGGGAAGUCCUGAGAUAAACUCACAUCAGAGACGAAGAGAGUGACACAUGAAGUUUAACAAUUUGCACAAGAAGGACAUAGCUCAUUCAUCAUAGAGAGAUGAUCCAUGGAGGGUGCCACAAACACGAUGCACAACCGCUAAGAAAGGACAGCUUCCACAAGAUGAUACUGUACCAUCACUCUUCGAGCAAGGUAACAUCUUAAGGUACUUGACUAUCACUUUUAUAAGCUUCUCCUUGCUUCUAGCAUUCAUAUAAAUAAAUGAGAUAAACAUGUAUGAUUUACAGCUCUAGAUUAACAAACCCAACUGAUUCAACAUGUUUAGUCCUUUAAUCCUUGUUCUUAGUACUACCUCCAUGAUCCCACACUCCUAAUCAUAUGAGCUAAAAUGUUAUACAUUCAAUCAUUGAGAGAUAUAAAGAAAAAGACAUAUACAUAAAUAGAUUAUCUUUCCAUAAGGUUGAGCGAUCUGAUCUGACAAAUGUUAUAAGUGCUACACUCUUGAACUUAUCAUCCAUCAACUUGUCUUGCUCACUAUGCUUAGGUUAGAGAAGAACAAAUACACUUUUGGUUCCGUUGGUGUUUUCCACCAACAGGGCCCCAUGCACUUGAUCUCUGCCUUGUCUCUAUGAGCAGGUACACUACGAGCACAAACACACUGAGCAAGAUACUGCUAACACCGCACUUCGAACUGCUGGGCAAACGAAGAACAUGGGUGACACCGUAUUAAAAGGUGCAGACGUCAAGAUCCACACCUGAAUCAAAUGACGCACCUGAAGAAUGAACACGGUGAGAAGUCUUGUUCAGAAGACUUAAAACAUUGAACCCUCGCCGAAAGGUAAAAUCGGUAGUUAUCCAUAUUUAUCCUUUCUGCAUUCCCUUUAAUUAUUUACUUUCCUUAAAUAGAUUAUUAGUUAAUCAUGCUAUGUUGAAAAGAAAAUAAAAAUGUUAAAAAAUACUAAGCCCCAUGUGAGUAUACGAAUGGCAUAAAACCCAUAAGUACCUUCACUGUGGUGGCAUAAAAAUAAAAUAAAUAUUUCUUUUCUACUUUAUAAAAAUAAAAAUAUAAAAAUAGGGAGUAAUAUUUAUUAAGGAGUCUCAAGAUGAUAAAGGCUAGAUAUUUAUGCUAACACUUAAUCAGUUCCACAAGCUUUGUUGUCUAUUUGAGCUCCACAGAAUUUAAGAAUCAAGAAGACUAGCAGACGGAGGACAUUCUAAUCGCUGUCAGAAUGCUGCUGACUUUCAAAUACACCUCUGCCACCUGCUAGCUACAUCAAGAGAAAUUACGUCAAAAUUCAGCUUGGGGGAGAGCACCCCCAUUUAUCCCGAUAAGUAUUUCUAUCUAUCUAUCUUUAUACUUAUAUUAUUUUAGAAUAUUAAAAUACAUAAACUAUGAAAAACCAAAUAAAGAUUUCGUGCUUAUAUAUCUUUUACUUAGUGUGUUUAAUAAAUAAAUAAAGUGGCUAUCUGUAUCUAAAUAAAAUUUAAGCAUGGAUAUGAUGAAUAGUUGCUCUGCCUAAUUUACAUAUUUUAAGUUCUCUCUCAAGUUUAGAUAUAACUGUGAUAAUUUAAAGCUUGCUCUAGACCUAAAUUUGUAGGAUGAAAACUUGAUCUGAAAUCUAAGUUGUUAACGGAUAUGAUAUGAGAAGGUGGAGCUGCUGUUUAUCUAUUCCUAGAGAUGCUAGAAUUCUAGAGAAUUUUAUCUUUGAAAAAUCUUUAAAAUGUUGCAUGAUGAGUUCCUGUAUGAUGAAAGUUUAAAUUCCUACCACAGUCAUAUAUACAUGCUUGCUAGACUUUGAGCCACACAUUUAUUAUUUAUUGCUUAUGAGCAUUGAGUGUGGUCAAGCUGUGUAGACCCUUAGGAGCUUGUCAUGUGGUUAAAUCAAGAUUCACUAGCACGUUCACUCAUAUAUAUGCUACUUCUACUCCGGAAGUACCAUCCACAUAUAUCCAUCCAUUUCCAUCUCCAGUUUCACCCAAAAUUAUUCUACUCCUAAUCCGGGAGAGAAUAGCCAAAAACAUUUUCCUAUCCCUGUUAUUCCCUGUGAAAUAAAUGCUCCAGUUAUUUUGGUUACUACCACUUGCUACAUUAUUUCAGGAGAUGAGUGCUCUGAAAAAAAAAGAAAAAGAAUAAAAAAAAAAGAAAAAAUAAAUAAACGAGGAAAUAAAAAGGGGCAAGUGCCCGGAACCUCGAAAGAAAAGAAAAAGAGUGAGACGAGAGGUAAAAAUGGACAAGUGUCCGACAGUAGAAUUAGGGGUACAGGAUACCCAUCUGAGAGAAAAGAAAAAGAAGAGCAUCUCAUUCUCCUCAUAAAGUUUCAAAAAGCAAGAAAGGUAUGUAUCCCCUCAAAAGAGCAAAAGUAGAAUUAGACUUUCACCAUUGUUAUCACCAUCAUCACCAUACACCAUUCAUUCGCCACACAUGCACAUCUUGAUUUGGCUUAUUGAUUUGUUUCUUUGGAUCCAUGGUUUGACUACACAAUAAAUGUCUUGUAAGUAUGUAUACUUUAUCUCCCACCUAUAAGCUCCAGAUAUUAAAGCCUUAUUAGAGUAGGGUGAGAGAGAAGACAAUGUCACUAUGCCUUAUACCACAAAUACCACAUAUCUUAAGAGAAGGCAUAUACCAUCACUGCCUUGGUAAGGAUCCAGAAAUACCACAAAAGAGAGAUUUAGAGAGUCAUACAAGGAAUCUCUAAGUUUUAUUUGAAAAUCUACAAAAAACUCCAGAGCUAUAGCUGAUCAAGAAUAAGCGACAUGGCACUUGACUGGACUGUUCUAUCUUUUAACUACUCAAGACAGAAGUGACGGUUACAAGUCACAUGGUGAAAGGUAAAGUAAGUAAGUUUUAAGUCUUGACAGUUUACUCUAACUCAGAGAUGAGAUCUUAUUUAAAAGCAUGUGUACCGUUAAAUUUUUAAGAUAUUGCAACAACUUCUGAUCCAUUGCUGAGUCUAUCCUUGCUCAGGGACGAGCAAGAGGUAAGCUUGGGGGAGUUUGUUGACGGUCCUUAAGUAUCAAAUUUAACUAUCAAAUAAACAAAGAAAAGGAUCCAAAUGAAAUCAACAUCGAGACUUAGGGUUUUAUCUGACAGAAUUCCACGAGUUUUGGUGUUUGUCUAUUUCUGCAGGGGGUUAUCAGGAAAUAAGGAAGAAAGGCCCACACGUCAGGAUUACAUAGAGAUAUUAACGUGCUGCGCAAUUAUCUUACAUCUAGAAGACUCCAGAAGCCACGAGACCGAAGCGGAGGCGAAACGGGGCCAGAGACAGGGCGCCCGCCCUGUCCUACUGGGCGCCCGCCCACCUCCUGUGGCCAAUCAGGCUCAAUCUCGCGGAUUAUGCUCCACCGACCUAAAGGAUCAAGAAUAACCGUUCAAUCAAUGUCGGUUUGAUCCGACGGCCCAGGUUCACUUGAGGGGACUAUAAAACCAGACCCCCUGGCCCCUGGAGGAGGCAACCCCUUGAUCAUUAUUCAUUAUUCAUAGACAGAGCAAAAGCUAGGGUUUAGAGAUGAGAGCUCUCCUCUCUUCUCUAAACUAGAGUAGAUCUAGAUAGUAGCGAGAUGGAGAGCGAAGGAGGAUUAGAGGAGAGGCCGGCCUGUCGGUUCUUCCUCCGGUUGUACUUCGCCAUGAUCAAGCUCUAAUCAAGCUUGCUCAUGGGAUGACUCUGGUAAUCUAAUUCUAAUUCAUUACGCAAUUACUAAUCAUGUAUGUUUUGGUUCACAACUCUUUUGAGUACUUCUAAUCUAUAGGACCCUAUAGGUUAGAGUUGUAGUAUAGGUGUAAGCGUGGUGCUUAGACCUAGAUUACUUGUGGAUAUCCCCUGACUAGCUGGAUCGUGUGGUAGGCCGCGUAGGUGACAGUUACGUUGGUCCCCUGUAGUCCACCUCUCGUUAGCAGGACGGGUAGGGUUUAUCGGCCUAUGGAUAAGCAUCCUUUGUGGUGUACUCUUAUCACAUGGUUCGUCCCAGACAUAGACAUACCCCUUUGAAGUAGAGAAACCAUAGUUAUCCUCUCUAUUCUGCUACCAUCGCCCAUAUACUAGAAUUGCUCUACUCUAUAUUCCCAUAUUAUCACUCACUGUUAUCUUACCUUUAAUAUUGUUCUUAUUCGAUUCUACCAUCUUUCCUAUUCACACCUAUUUACUUAUCUUGGUUAAGUUAGAGCAUAGAUCAGUUCUCCCGUUUCCCUGUGGAUACGAUAAAACCUUUAACCGGGUAAAAGCUUCAACGGUAUCCGUGCGCUUGCGGAUUAUCUGUGUGCGUAUAAAUACCAUAGUACACUCUAGUGCCAUGCUGGGGAUGACAACCUAGUAUUCAAGUGGUGUUAGCAAGUGUCAACACCAACUAAGUGUCAGGCAUGCGUUCAACAUGACAAGAGGACGUACAACGAUCGGUCCUUAACUGCCAAAGACGGAGUUACUACAGCCUUGCAAAACUCCGCCCGGCUUAAGUCAUUUUAAUCAGGUUCUUUCCCACGAUAGCACAUAUAGUCAAUCGUGUUCCGACACAACCCUAUUUCACGCAGGUGACAGGAUAUCACCUGACUUCUACCGAUUAAAGCAUGGCUAAGCUGCUACUCGAUCCUAACUCUACAACCAGGUGUUGACGGUCCUUAAGUACUAAAUUUAACCAUCAAAUAAACAUGGAAAAGGAUCAAUAUGCACCAAACAUCUAGAAUUAGGGUUUUAUCUGACAGAAUUCCACGAGCUUUGGUGUUUAUCUAUUUCUGCAGGGGGUUAUUAGAAAAUAUGGAGAAAAGGCCUACAUGUCUGGUUUACAACGAGAUAAUUUCGUGCCGUGCAAUUUUCCUUAAUCUAGAAGAGUCCAGAAGCCAGGGAACGAACGGGAGAUCGAUCGGGCCCGGGGGCAGGGCGCCCGCCCUCCCCCUUGGGCACCCGCCCUGCUCUAGUGGCCAAUCAGAGUAGGUCUCCUAGAUCGUGCUCCACCGCCUUUAAUCUUCAAGAAUAACCGUGCGAUCAAUGUCGGUUUGAUCCGACGGCCCAAAUUCAUCUGAGGGGGCUAUAUAAGCAAGGCCUCUCCACCCCAGGGGGGAGGAGAAAUCAUUAUCAGAGGAAGCCAUCAAAGUUAGGGUUUUAGAACUUCUCUCCCACAGAGAAUUAGAAUUAGCUACUCCUAGUUCCUUCAUGUUCUAUAGGAUUGAUUAGAUAGAAUUAGAGAAGUAGAGCCUAGCGCUCUGGAUUCGGAUCUUCAUCAAUAAAGAUUGGUAUUAUUUCAUAUCUUUCUCUACUACUUUAUUCUAAUUGCAUUAUGUCUCUAUUUAUUAUGUUCUUAGUUUGCUCUAGUUCUAUAUUUCUUAUAGUUAUGAUUGAUAAUGAGUUUAUGGAUAAGUUUGCAAAGCGCUUAGCUCUUGACGCGCGGGAGUUAAGUGGUAGAUCACAUGUGGGCAUGGUGCUUAGAUGUUAUUUACCUGCAAAUGUAUCCUAUUGGCCAAGUCGUGUGGUAGUUUGCGAUGGUGACAGCUUCGUUGAUUCUUAUAUAGUCCACCCUCUGUUGAUAGGACAGGCAGAAUUUGUAUUGCGGAGUAAGUCUUGCUAUGUUCUGAUUUACUUUAGCAAUGUUCCUUAUACAUGAAUGAAGAGUCUUUUAUGCUAUAUAUGAUCUUGUAGAUAACUAGAGUAGAUUGUGACUUAGUAGGUAGAAGAUACUUAGAAUCCAUUCUCUAGCUAAUCCGACGUCACCUAACAUUUAUAUGGAGUAGUCUAUUUCUAAUCGCUGUGUUAUUUACCCAUGAGCUUAUAUUUCAUUAUCAUUAUUAUUAUGGCUUACCCCCUACCAAAGCAAGUGACUAUGUGACGAGUUCCUCAUUAGUAAUCAUGUUCUUGCAGGUUUAUCUCUAGUCUAUGCCUUGAUAGAUUUUACCCCCCUAUUUUCACUUUCGCCGUUCUCUUAAGCAAAAAUUAUAAAUAACGAUACCCGGAAUACUUUCCUAGUGAAAUGCUACAAUGAGGUAUUUUAUCUGUGUGCUUGCGGAUAGAAUAGAUUAUUUUCUAGAGAGCCUUCAUAUUCAUAAAUACCUUUGUACACUCUGGCACUAUGCUGAGGAUGAUAACCUAGUAUCCAAGUGGUGUUUGUAAGUGUCAACAAGCAUUUCUGGCGCCGUUGCCGGGGAACGGUAAGGAAAGUCAGGAAGUUAGUCAAGGUUAUUCACAUAAAAUAUUAGAUUAGACUAUGGAGAAAUAAAUGCAUAAACACCUACUAAAUGAGAAAUCAUAACAAGGCACCUCUGCUUUGGCAGGUGUUGACGGUCCUUAAGUAUCAAAUUUAAUUAUCAAAUAAAUAAAGAAAAGGAUCCGAAUGAAAUCAACAUCCAGACUUAGGGAUUUAUCUGACAGAAUUCCACGAGUUUUGGUGUUUGUCUAUUUCUGCAGGGGGUUAUCAGGAAAUAAGGAAGAAAGGCCCACACGUCGGGAUUACGUAAAGAUAUUAACGUGCCGCGCAAUUAUCUUACAUGUAGAAGACUCUAGAAGCCACGAGACCGAAGCAGAGGCGAAUCGGGGCCAGAGACAGGGCGCCCGCCCUGUCCUACUGGGCGCCCGCCCACCUCCUGUGGCCAAUCACGCUCAAUCUCGCGGAUUAUGCUCCACCGACCUAAAGGAUCAAGAAUAACCGUUCAAUCAAUGUCGGUUUGAUCCGACGGCCCAGGUUCACUUGAGGGGACUAUAAAACCAGACCCCCUGGCCCC
rnacentral:lncRNA from 1 species